CCCUUCGGGGACAAAGUGACAGGUGGUGCAUGGUUGUCGUCAGCUCGUGUCGUGAGAUGUUGGGUUAAGUCCCGCAACGAGCGCAACCCUUGAUUUUAGUUGCCAGCAUUUAGUUGGGCACUCUAAAGUGACUGCCGGUGCAAGCCGGAGGAAGGUGGGGAUGACGUCAAAUCAUCAUGCCCCUUAUGACCUGGGCUACACACGUGCUACAAUGGAUAGUACAAAGGGUCGCGAAGCCGCGAGGUGGAGCUAAUCCCAUAAAACUAUUCUCAGUUCGGAUUGUAGGCUGCAACUCGCCUACAUGAAGCCGGAAUCGCUAGUAAUCGUGGAUCAGCAUGCCACGGUGAAUACGUUCCCGGGCCUUGUACACACCGCCCGUCACACCACGAGAGU
rnacentral:rRNA from 1 species